GCCGAAGUGGCGAAAUGGCAGACGCGCUAGACUCAAAAUCUGGUGGCCUCACGGCCGUGUGGGUUCAAGUCCCUCCUUCGGCA
rnacentral:tRNA from 1 species